ACUGAUUUCCUUUGGUGCUUAGA
rnacentral:miRNA from 8 species